UCCAGACUCCUACGGGAGGCAGCAGUGGGGAAUAUUGCACAAUGGGGGAAACCCUGAUGCAGCGACGCCGCGUGAGUGAAGAAGUAUUUCGGUAUGUAAAGCUCUAUCAGCAGGGAAGAAAAUGACGGUACCUGAUUAAGAAGCCCCGGCUAACUACGUGCCAGCAGCCGCGGUAAUACGUAGGGGGCAAGCGUUAUCCGGAUUUACUGGGUGUAAAGGGUGCGCAGGUGGCAGGGCAAGUCAGAUGUGAAAGCCCGGGGCUCAACCCCGGUAUUGCAUUUGAAACUGUCCGGCUAGAGUGCAGGAGAGGUAAGCGGAAUUCCUAGUGUAGCGGUGAAAUGCGUAGAUAUUAGGAGGAACACCAGUGGCGAAGGCGGCUUACUGGACUGUAACUGACACUGAGGCACGAAAGCGUGGGGAGCAAACAGGAUUAGAUACCCGCGUACC
rnacentral:rRNA from 1 species